UCAGUUAAUUUGAUACCUAUGUCAGUAUGAAUAGAAGUGAUGUUAUUUUGACCUGUCCUGAUCCUCCAUUGUGCAUGAAAGUACUUGGUAUUUGCAUCUCCACAUUCAAUCCAUGUAGCUUUGGAUUUUUGUCUCAUUACCUGCUCUUCAACAUUGUUCCAUUUAUCAAGUUCUUCAAGCAAGCCUCUUUCUUCAAUAAUCAGCUCCUGUGAAAGACAGUUUGUCUGCAUCUGUACCUGUAGGAUAUCAAGUCUUUCUCUUGUCUGGAUGAUCUGCUGUUUGUAUUUGGCUAAGUGAUCAUUUAACCCCUUUAGCUGCUGCUUAACUGUCUUCAAUUUGCUCCAAAUCUGUUGCAUAUGAGUGCCAUGAUAAACCUUUUCC
rnacentral:lncRNA from 1 species